GAUGAACGCUGGCGGCGUGCCUAAUACAUGCAAGUCGAGCGAACAGACGAGGAGCUUGCUCCUCUGACGUUAGCGGCGGACGGGUGAGUAACACGUGGAUAACCUACCUAUAUGACUGGGAUAACUUCGGGAAACCGGAGCUAAUACCGGAUAAACUCUUAAUCCCUUGGGUUAAUUGGGAAAGUACGGUUUUUUGGGAAGUACUCGUGGAUUCGCGCCGUGUUUGCUUGGUGGUUAGGUAACGGGUUAUCAAGGCAACGAUGCGUUGCCGAACUGAGAGGGGGGUCGGCCGCACUGGAACUGAGACACGGUCAAGGCGCCUACGGGAGGGAGCAGUAGGGAAUCGGCCGCAAUAGGCGAAAGCCUGACGGAGCAACGCCGCGUGAGUGAUAAAGGUCUUCGGAUCGUAAAACUCUGUUAUUAGGGAAGAACAGAUGUGUAAGUAACUAUGCACGUCGUGACGGUAACUAAUCAGAAAGCCACGGCUAACUACGUG
rnacentral:rRNA from 1 species